rnacentral:rRNA from 1 species
UACGUAGGGGGCAAGCGUUGUCCGGAUUUAUUGGGCGUAAAGAGCGUGUAGGCGGUCAGGUAGGUCCGUUGUGAAAACUCGAGGCUCAACCUCGAGACGCCGAUGGAAACCAUCUGACUAGAGUCCGGAAGAGGAGAGUGGAAUUUCUGGUGUAGCGGUGAAAUGCGCAGAUAUCAGGAAGAACACCUGCGGUGUAGACGGCUAUCUGGACGGUUACUGACGCUGAGACACGAAAGCGUGGGUAGCAAACAGG